GAGGGUAGAGCUCAGUGGUAGAGCUGGUGCUUAGCGUGCUCACAAGGUCCUGGGUUCAAUCCCCAGUGCCUCCA
rnacentral:tRNA from 1 species